UGUCUGUGUAUUUGACAGAAAUUUUUGUGGAAAAGCAUGAACAAUCUCAAGGUUACAAGUCAAUCUCAAGAGAUCUUAAUGUUCAUGUGUCCACUGUGCGCAACAUUGUCAAGAAGUUUACAGCCCAUGGCACUGUAGCUAAUCUCACUGGAUGUGGACG